UGGUGUAAGGACAAGGAAAAGUCAGUGCCUAGAGGAGCUGCCUACAAGAAACAUCAAGGAGCCCAAAAUAGGCAAAAUCUGUGUCCUGCAGUCAGGGCUCUUAGAGGAUUUCUGCCUAUCUGCUCAGAAAACACCACUGGAGGUAAUAUCUGAACGAUCUGUACCUGAAGGCCACUGACUUCAACUGCAAGUAUGAAAGUGCCAUCAAUAAAACACCCAAUGUGAUUUAGAAAAACCCUCCUGCGGUCAAUCUUUGAAAUGCAGCCCUGGAUGAUGAACUAACCUCACCUUUCCUUGGUUGUCUCCUUGCUUCAUUUUGCAGCCUAUAAACCUACAGUUUGUUUGUCGUUUGCCCUAAGCCAUUUGCUUUCCCCUCCAUUUAAUUGCUUGAUCCUGCAUUCAUUGAAGCUACUGGAAUCAUUCCCAUAAGGGACACAGUAACUACCCAGAGAUCCCCACACCCAGGCACAAACAAAUACAUGUCACAGACUCCACUAUCACCUUGCUGAGAAAGGCAGGGCAGGGUUCAAGCUAUCCGCUGCUGAACUUGCGUGCCUGAAGUCCACUGAAAUUACUUGAAGCAAAUAACAAAAUAUCACGAACUUUCCCCCAGGAGGGGAAGUGGUAAGAUUGAUUUGACAUAAAAGACUAGCUAUCAUUAUUAAUUCAUAGUUUGGCAGA